AGUCUUCUGUAUCCGUGCUGAGAUUUCAUCACACACUAGACCACAAGGGCUGAUCAGACUUCCAAGAUAAAGAUU
rnacentral:pre_miRNA from 1 species